rnacentral:rRNA from 1 species
UUCGCCCUUAGAGUUUGAUCCUGGCUCAGGAUGAAUGCUGGCGGCGCGCCUAACACAUGCAAGUCGAACGGCACCCCUCUCCGGAGGGAAGCGAGUGGCGAACGGCUGAGUAACACGUGGAGAACCUGCCCCCUCCCCCGGGAUAGCCGCCCGAAAGGACGGGUAAUACCGGAUACCCCGGGGGGGGGGGUGGGUCCCCGGCGUGUGCCCCGGCGGUAGGGGAUGGGUCCGCGGCCGGUGAGGGGGGCGGCGGGGUGACGGCGCGCCGGGCCGACAGCGGGUGGCCGGGUUGAGAGAACGACCGGCCAUAUUGGGACUGACACAAGGCCCAUACUCCUACGGGAGGCAGCAGUGGGGAAUCUUGCGCAAUGGUGGGAACCCCUGACUUAGUAGCGCCGCGUGAGGGAAAGAAGUUUUUUGGAAUUGUAAACCUCUGUCCUCAGGGACGAAGGACGUGACGUACCCUGAUAGGGCCGCCCCGGCUAACUACGUGCCAGCAGCCGCGGUAAUACGUAGGGGGCGAGCGUUGUCCGGAAUGACUGGGCGUAAAGGGCGUGUAGGCGGCUUUUUAAGUCUGGAGUGAAAGCCCCUCUUUCAAGGAGGGGAGUGCUUUGGAGACUGGAGAGCUUGAGUGCGGAAGAGGUAAGUGGAAUUCCCAGUGUAGCGGUGAAAUGCGUAGAGAUUGGGAGGAACACCAGUGGCGAAGGCGACUUACUGGGCCGUAACUGACGCUGAGGUGCGAAAGCGUGGGGAGCGAACAGGAUUAGAUACCCUGGUAGUCCACGCUGUAAACGAUGAAUGCUAGGUGUAGCGGGUAUCGACCCCUGCUGUGCCGGAGUAAACACAAUAAGCAUUCCGCCUGGGGAGUACGGCCGCAAGGUUGAAACUCAAAGGAAUUGACGGGGGCCCGCACAAGCAGCGGAGCAUGUUGUUUAAUUCGAUGCAACGCGAAGAACCUUACCAGGUCUUGACAUCGAGGUAAAGUAGCAGAGAUGCUAUGUGGAUUCGUCCAACCGAAGACAGGUGGUGCAUGGUUGUCGUCAGCUCGUGUCGUGAGAUGUUGGGUUAAGUCCCGCAACGAGCGCAACCCUUAUGAUCAGUUACUAACAGGUGAAGCUGAGGACUCUGAUGAGACUGCCGGGGACAACUCGGAGGAAGGUGGGGACGACGUCAAAUCAUCAUGCCCCUUAUGACCUGGGCUACAAACGUGCUACAAUGGCGGCUACAAAGAGAGGCGAGACUGUGAAGUUAAGCGGAUCUCAAAAAAGCCGUCCCAGUUCGGAUUGUGGGCUGCAGCCCGCCCACAUGAAGUUGGAGUUGCUAGUAAUCGCGGAUCAGCAUGCCGCGGUGAAUACGUUCCCGGGCCUUGCACUCACCGCCCGUCA